rnacentral:lncRNA from 1 species
AGAAUCACUCUCCUUGCAGUCAUAAAGCUAGGAAGUGCAAUGACCAGGCAUGUGGUCCUGACCUCAGACUGAGGAUCCUUGGCCUAGAGUCAAGCAGUUGCUGUAGUCACCGAAACAGCCAAAUUAACUGUCUGCUUAGCCAUGGAUUAAAAUUCAUCCACUGAUCCAAGACAAGGAGACUUCUUUUAUUACAAGAAAAGAAAAAAAAGUACAUAUGUGAUAGUAACUUUAAUUAUUGAAGGUUUUUGACACCACCGAUGAAAACGCUUCCUACAAAGUCAGCUUUGAGCAUAGCCAGUGACAAUACUGUGAAGAGAGUCUGGACAGUUUCAGUAACUUGAACUGAGAAAUAUGACCACUGACUUGGGACAGGUAUGUCUGCAUUUUGCUAAUACUUCCUUCACUAGCCUGAAAACAUGGUGAUUCUUGUGGAACACUCUUAGCUUUACCUGUCUCAACACAGAGC